AGUGGCUACGUGACACCCACGCUGAAAGUUUUCCAGUUAACAAAGAAGUCCCCUCAAAGGCAUUCAUGAUCCGCCAACAAGGAGACUUAUUCUUCCACUUCUGUCAGAGGACUGCAUGAUUCCUGUAAAAUGACAAGCAGACAGCAUUGCCUGGCUUGGGAUCAAAGCUCUGACUCAUUUCAUCUGCCUGUCACUUCUAAUUGUGGAGAGGGUCUUCCAUUGGGCUCUUGCCUAAUGGGACUGCCUCUCAUUAAACAUCUUUGGCUGCCAUGGAAUUCAGGGAGCAAAUGGGAUUUCAGAGGGCUGCAUUAUUCCUGUAAGAUGAGAAACAGACAGCCUAUUUUGGCUUUUGCAUGGUGAUCAAGCCUCUGUUGUAUUUCAUCUGCAAGUCUUCUCAUUAGGAGGGGCUUUUUCAUUGUCUGCUGCUGGAUGGAACAGCCUCUUGCCACAGAUUAUUUGGCUGCCAGGGAUUUCAAAGAGCACAAGAGACUUCAGCCCUUGCCAGAACGGUGGUGCAGUGAUGUAUUACCUGCCAACAGCACAAUGUGAGGCAGGGUCCAGCCGUUCUGCCCAGCAUACAACUUGAGGGAGCAGCCCCUUUUGAAGACCUCCAGGUGGACUUCACAGGAAUGCCAAAGUGUGGAGUGAUCAUGUGUGGAUCAAGGACUGGAAUGUAGCCCACCCACAACUACGGUGGGAAGGACCCCAGACCAUCAUUUUGACGACUCUCACAGCAUGAAAAUAGAAGGAUUCCCAGCCUGGAUCAAUCACAGUCAUGUAUCAUCUACAUUGUCUGAGACCUGAGAGGUGAGACUGAGCCUGGUGGACCCCUGCAAAGUGACAUUGAGAAAGAUGGCAAGCCCUGCUACAGUCACAACCAGAAGCUUACUGUUGUAUGCAUGGCAAAAGAAUGAGGAUACUCAUCAUGGGAUUUAUUCUCCUUAAAAUUUGUACUUCUAUAAUAAAGACUGAUUUUUCCUGCAUGGAGGACUGUUC
rnacentral:lncRNA from 10 species